GCUGGUUUGGCUCAGUGAUUAGAGCAUCAGCCCAGGGACUGAUGGGUACCAGUUUGAUUCUGGUGAAGGGCA
rnacentral:tRNA from 1 species